CAGCCUCUGAGAAAAGAGACACCAGUGGGAAAUUUUGCUUUGAUGCCAGCUCGCCAGCUAGCUCUGGCACCAGGGAUGAGGAGGAGGAAGGACUGCCGGCUCUCGCGAUGCUCCCCUGCAUGUGCACACUUGCAGAGCUGAGCUCAGCCGGAGAUCCUGGGAGAGGGUUGCAGCAACUGCAGAGCAAGUCACCAGCUGUGCCCUGCCUGACUGGCCAACACAUGGCUGGCACAGCCGGAGCCAGCAGUGGCAGCCAGCCACCCGCCAUCGGACGAGAGAGACCGCGGAGAAGAGCUGGCACUGCAAGGACGCUCUGGAAGGACCGUGUCGUACAACCAUCCAUCGUCCCAAGAUGUCGGUGAUCAUGGAGGACACACCAUGGUCAGCAGACCCACCCUGACUGAAGGAUCACUAGACAGAAGAUGAUGCAAAGUAUUUCUAUUUGCUAUAUAUAUUCUCCAGUGUACUAUCAAGGAGAUGCUUCUUCUCAGCCCAGGACAGUGAAUGUGUUAGGUAGAAAAAGCAGACAGAAAAGUCUCUCACCUUGCCACAGACUUAUUUGCUCUUCUUUAAUUCCUUCACUUGCUCUAGUGGACCCAUCUUGUCCAUCCCAUCCUCUCAUGUUCCCCAGAUUAAUUCAUUUGGCCUUCUUGUAAACUCUAGAAUUACUGUACAAAUUGAACAAUUUUAUUAUCAUCAUAACAAUUGAGGAUAAUGUGUCCUAAAGUCACACCUCAGAGAGAUCCAACUUAACCAACAGGAAACUGGACAGGAACUAUCUACUGAUGAUACCCAAAACUGAGUUUCAAAACUGAGGCUGAUAAAGAGCGUGGAAGACCACCGCUGCCCUAGCUCUUGCUUUACAGCUGUGGGCCAUGGGCAUGAAGCAGUUUAGUGACUUGACCAAAAUCCAGAAGCUGGGUACCAAAGCACUCCUGAGGAUCCCAAACACGGGAACCAGGGGGCUAAAAAAUCCUCUUUACCACUUAACUUUCCAUUGCCCAGUCCUGAUAAGAGAGAGGGUUCAAUUAAUGUUUCAAGCACAAGUGCCAUUAAUACUCUGUCCAAAUGCAUCCCACAAUUAGUAUCAUCUCAGCUUCUAGGAACAGGCUGUCUCCUCUUUGGCACCAUGCAGCAGGUGAAACCUUGGGGUGCCCACUAAUGAACUGUGUUAGGCUGCUUCUAUUCUCACUACAGACCCUUCGAAACAGUAUCCUUUUAACAGAGACCUUGAAGCUACUUUCAAUAAAACCUUCUCCAUGU
rnacentral:lncRNA from 1 species